UACAGGGAGAGCAGCAUAGAGGACGCCUGUGCUCUGAGAACCUGUCCUUCAGACCUGAUAGGAAAGCAGCCUUCUGGCCACACGUGGGAGCUGCGGUGAUAAAUACCAUUGACACCGCAAGAAAAUCAGAUACGCCAUGUCGGGGAUCCUGCGUUUUUGUUUGUGUGCUGGUAGGGCAGCCAUGAAUCAGCGAGUGUGGGCACAAAGAGCCCUGCGAGGCACCCGAUAAAUGUGCUUCAGAAAAAACUGAGCUGCGUUGCUUUUAAUUUGGAAGACGACUGUUGGAGGACAGUCCAACCCAACAGGAUCGGAGUGUUAGCCAACUCCUUCGCCCUCUCCCACGGGAAAGAGGGCUAUAAAAUAAAACCGGCUCAUAAAAUGUUGUUAGUCAACCUGUUCCUCGCUUGUGACACAGGAUGGCAAAGGUCCUAGAGGCAGAGCUGGAGGUGGAGAGGGAAGGUGAGCAGUAAAAAAAUAAGGAUGAAAUUCAGAGAAGGGGAUGAUUGUGUGCAAUAGAGGAUGAAAACACCCUGGAGAAGCUCAGCCCACUCCAAGCCAGUGCAUAAAUUCACUCCUGAAAGUUUAAACAUUCGCAAUGCCAGGCAACAAUUCCCAUGUGUUGAAGGAAAAAUCUGCAGUGCGUGCUCUGACGGCAGCUGGGGAGAUCCCACACCAUAGCAGUCCCACACCGGACCUCUGCAGGCCUGCACCCCUCAUUUUGCAACAGCCAUGUUUUCCCAACGUGGAGCAGACGCACCAUGAGAAAUGUGGGGUGUGUGGUUUUCUAAGCCAUGCUUUAAGUGGGUGGAAAUGAGGUUUCUUUCCACUGAGGUUGCCCGGGGUUCUGACAUUUCAGCACCAGGCACACGCUGCUCUGGGAUGGCCUGGAAUAGCGGUCUGUGAGAAUGGGCAUUUUCUCAGGUGUCAAUUUAAAGCUCACUGAAGUCAAAGGGAACUUGUCAUUGGUAUCACUGGGCUUUGAUUUGGGCAAUGAGCUCAAAUGAAUUUAAAGAGCCCCAAAAUAGUUUUGGACUGAAGCUGUUGGAUUUGGCAAGGUCUGCUUGAAGAUGGGGCAGUGUUGCUUAAAUUCAGGCAUGGUGUAGGAAAGUUCUUUGUGAAAUGAGUCCAAGCGUCUCAAUUUGUAUGCUUAAUGGAAAAGUGUCAGCCAAAAAAAAAAGAGUUCUUUCAGCAAGAGUAAAUCCCCAAAGUCUGUCAGGACCCAGUACCUCUUUGAUUUUAUUUAGAUCUGUUUCUCUGGGAGCUUCAGCUAUGUCACGCUGCCCAAACAAAGGGCAGAGGACUGAAACCAGCUGUUUGUUGAACCAUCUCAGUCUCGAUAUUUUUCUGCAGUAGAAUGCAUGCACACUUGGCACUCCUUCCAUUACCGAUUAGCAACAGCUUGCCCAAAGCAGGGAGAAUUUCAGCCCUUUCUGCAAACCCCACAGCAGCCAGGCGUACCCUCUGAGACUGACCAGGCUAUGGCACCUUCACUGCAUUGCGAAGGUACGCAUUGUCCCAAGGGUACCUGCUUCUUACUGUACUGAGACAGAAGGAUUUAGCAGAGGCCUUUAGAGUUGGUUUUAUCUGCUGAAAGGCCAAAGGGAGAUGAAGGAAGUGAAACAUGGAGGGAGAGGUGACGAUAGAUCAUUCAGUGCUUAUCUUUCAGCCCACACAGCCACAUUGUCACACUGUGCCUGGAUCUGCAAACCAUCAGUUAGGGCUGAACUCUUCUGCCUUUGCUGGAGGACACAGCUUUGAACUCAGGCACAGGCAUAGGAUGCUGUAGGAUACUGUGGAACAGGAUACCCAGAUCAGCUUUUAUUCUUGCGUGUAAUAUGUAAGAUGUAAUAGCAUUCCUCUCCCCAUCCGCCUACUAAUAGGGCUUGCUGACCCUGCAGAAAUACCUGUAUCUCCCCUGAAGAAGUUUCUAGUCAUGCUCCUUCACAACUAUACCUUAAGAAGAAUCUUUUGUUUCAUCUUCCACGUCUUACCAUAAAGUUAGCCAUCCCUUCAUUCCCAGUGUUUUUUCUCUGACUGCAGAGCUGACCACAAGCGGCCCCAGUACCCACUGGCUCUGCUCUGCUCAGCUCCAGGUGCUCCUUCUGGGUGGUGGUUUUUCCUGGCAGUCUUAUAAAUGGAAUUAAUGAUUUUUGGUUAGGGACAAAAGAAGAACUGUGCUAGCAUAGGGUGUUAAUUUAGGCAGGCAUUACUAUAUUUCUAAGGAGUGCAAAUCAUUAUAUGAUGUCCUCCCUUUCUUCCAAAUAAAACUGUAUGUGCCUUCCUUUAUAAAUGUAUUUUGUGUGUAAAUCAUAUAGAGAAACAUUAAAUGCGGCAUAAAGAUAGUAAUAAAACUGGUUGUAAUGUUUAUAUGUUUUUCAUGACCAAGUGCUUCGUAGCUAGAGGUGCCAUAACCACACACUUUGCACAGCAAGCAGCGAGGUGCUGUGGAAGCAGCACACCAGCAGAACCCAGCACUCUGGCACAGGGGUGGGAAGCUGCCAGGGACAGCGUGAGGCUGGGCAUCUCUCCUGGGCGUGGAGGGGCUGGGUGCCUGCUGUUGAGGAGCUGGCUUUGUGCUCCGGGUGGAAAUGCUGCGAGGUAGAGGAGGAGAUGCAGUACAUGCAUUACAUGAAGUCCCAACGUAGCAGCAGAGGAGGAAUUGUGUCCCAGAUCUCCUCUUGGCAUGUCUCAGUUCUGCCUCUUCCCUCUCAUUUUGGCACCGGAGGCCUCCUGGCGUUUGGGCUCAUCACAUUCAGCAUCGCUGAACUUGCUGCGAAGUCAUGGGUUAGGUCCAGGCCAGUCCUGGCAGCACACCACACCUUGAUAGGAAAAGCAGAUAAAAGCAUGACGUAAGGGAAGAACGGCGGAAAUAUUGCUACUGACACUUUUUCUCAGGGUUUUCCGGUGUUUGUGUUGGUCUGCCUGAUCUGUUGCAACGGGACAGAGCAUAUUGCAGAGAUGCGGAGUGCCCUCUAGCCACGCUUUCUGAAACUGCCGCAUCCUGCACAACAGAGGAGCUCCAUUUCCUUGCCUGUGUGCGUGCUUUGUUUUGCUUUGUUUUGUUUUUCCCCAAGUAGGGGAAACAGCUCAUUCAGUAAAAUCCCAAGCUGAUUUUGGCUCUAGAGAGCUUCUUAUAGGCAGAGCUUUCCACCUGCUGCAUCUGUUUGUUUCUGUGCUGUAGCUGAGCAUAUUGCUUUUGUGGUCCCCUGACAAUGUGUUUCAAAAGCACUGCCAUCACUAGGUGUGUGUUAGAGCCACUUGCCUGAGCUGCAUCCCCUUCCAGGAGAGGAUGUUGCUUUGUAGAUUGCAUUGCUGCAGCUGUUGGGGUGUUGGUCCCCUACAAUUGGGUGGAACGGGAAAGGCAGACACAGUGCAGGGAAUGCAGCUCCCUGUUGUCCCUGUGGCUGAGGAUCCUGUGCCUGUAGCUGAUGGGAGUAGGAGAGGUGUGCCAGAGCUGGCCAUGGAUAUGUCUCUAACUCGCUUUCCGUUCUGUCUGAACGUCCAGUGUUUGUGCUGAUACCAAUCUGCAGUUUGAUUUUUUUUUUCCCCAAAUUUCCAAUGACUUCUAAGGAAUACACGGAACGAAUAUUAGACAAAGCUCUGGUGUUCUCUCAGCCAUGGCCCGCAGCUUGCACUUCAUACUCUGUUAUGUGGUGUGACUCUUGAAGACUUCUUUAUAAAGGUCAUGCUGUUUGUGCUGCAUAAUAUAAAAUACAGUUCCACUGUAAAUUAAAAACAUACUUUAUGGCUUGCUGCUGCGCUUCGUGAAGGUGAACAAGAUUUGAAAUCACAGGUCUCCUCGGUUGUGGAAAAUAUUUAAUAUCACCCUAAUAGGGCCUGGAUGGCUUUAUGGACUGGUAAUGAGCUACAGAGGCCAUUCUAGGGCACCUUGCUACAUACUACUGCAUACUUUCUCAUCUGCCCCCAGCAGAACAUUUUCUCAUUGCUGACACUGAAAACAACUGUGCUAGAUUUGAUUUUAUUUUGUUAUGGGAAUUUUGGAGUGAACUGUAACACUGACUAACCCACAGCCAUCUCCAUUAGCUACAGAGGAUAUGCUCAGCCAUGUUGAGUUUCUCUCUCAGGAUGAAGGAGAGUUGAUUUGCUGUGUUGAAAUGGUUCACAGGUGUGCUCAAUCUCCAUUUACACCCUGGAAGAAUUAAGCAUUCAAUUACUUGCCAGGAGGGCAACUUUCAAGAAUGCUGUCCUUUCUUUCCAGGUAAAGCAUGGCAUGGAAAAUGGAUUCCGAGAGUCCUGCAGUCUGAUUCUGAAAUUCACCCAUGACAACUCUUCAGGGAGCCAGGAUCAAAGAUGGCAGCAGAGGGACAGUCUGACAGAAUAGUGUCUGGCAUGGAAACAUGGAUGAGGUGUGUCACUGAAUUCCUCCAUGCAGAAGAAAUGGCACCCACUGACCUUCAUCAAUACUUGCUGAAUGUUUAUGGAGACCGAACAGUGGAUCUACAUAUACCAAUAUGGAGAGCUGUCUUCCAAUGGUUGACUGUCAAGAAGAAAGACUCUCUGGAAUUCAGCAAGAUAUUUGCUACAUCUUGGCAGAAGCUAUAUUACAUGCUAUUAUUCUAAGCCAAAAGCCAGUAAGAAUGCAGGACCAACAGCAGGUGUAUCGUUGUUGGGAAGCCUCCUAUCAAGCAGACAAUAAAACCCUAUCACAUCUUAAUCCAGCCCACACUGCUGCCACAGGCAACCCUGACAGCUGCCUCUGUCUCUCUGGUAAGUCAUCCCUAGCUGUGUGUUUUACCAUUAAAGAGGGAAACUGUCUGGCAGGACUGCAGAAACAGUUGCAUGAGUUAUAUACAAAAAUGGCAGACCCACAAAAAAGUAUCAAAGCACAACAAACUUUUUUCAUUAAUAUCGUUAGCAUUUCAGUUUUCAUUGUGUUUGUUUUCAAAUUUCAAUACCAUAUAUAACUUAACAAUGACACAAUGGGAAAGCUGAAAAAGUCCAUACAGUAUCCAAGUCAAAACAUCCCUUCUUGGAUACUUAGCAUGCAUCCUAGGUACCGUAACUUCUUAACAAUAUUCAGCUGGGAAAAAGAAGAAAAGGAACACAGAAUUAAAAAGACAAUUCAAUUUACAUUAGCACAAAAAUGGUGCAGCUAUGAGGAAGUUCUUACCUAUUAUUUGGUGGCUGCUAUUCCAUAUAGGAACACAGAGAACAGACCUUAUGUGAAAGCCAAAGAUCUGGUCAGCCUAAAAUGUAGAAAUGAGAGCUUCCAUUAUGCUCCUCUUUUACUGCACCUGACUAUCCGUAGAAAUAAUUGAUUUCAACAAUUGAAUUUAAGAGUAAAACUUUCACAUGAACCCACCAACAGAAAAUAAUCGCUGCCCUUUGUAUCAAAUGAUUUUUUUUUCUAUAUAUAAAUUGGGCAGUACUUCAAAUGGAGUAACUGAAAACCAAAUAGAAGAUGAAUGAAUUAUUCAGGACGUAACAUACUGAAAGUACAACUGCAAACAUAGCAAGGAUUGGCAUGCUUUAUUUCAGCAUAUCUCUUUGGCAAGGAAUAGACCCCAGGCAUUAAUUGUACUUCUAGAAAUUCUGAAUAAAUUAGCAUUAGCACAGGUUUUUUUGAACAUUUUUUUUUACAGCCGAAUCCUUUUAAUUUUCUUCUUUUUUGACAAAGUCUUCUGGUGUGGGCCCUAUUAUCCAUGACAGAGAUAAUAAAACUGGAACCAAGGAAACUCUUGCACGAAAUACUUCCAAGCACACUUACUGUAGUGUUAUGGUUUGGUAAGCUUGCUGAAUAAGACUGUCCACUGAUUCAUGUGCCACUAAACUGCUGGCCAAGUUAUAUAUUGCUAUGUCCCAUAGCAAUAUUGGACAGAAUGCAGUGAAGACUUCAUCUUUCCCUAUGCCUUUUACAUUUAUUCAGGUAGUAUGCAUAUAUAUAUAUAUAUAUAUAUAUAUAUGCAUACAUAUUUUUAUCUUCCUAGCUGUGACUGAAACUAAUACCAUAGGAUACAUGCAAAUCUAUUAGGAGCAAUAUUCAUCUUGGAGGAAUAACUAGCCCAAUGCGUACAUUUGUUUUGUGCAAACUACCACAUUAAGGGGGUAGUUGACUAAGUUAGAUCACAAACAACAUUUGUCUCUUUAGAUUCUGGUUCUGUUUACAUUCCAUGUGCACAGUCCAGGUCACUCUGACAGCUAGCUAACAUCAUAGCUGACAUUGCUAACAUCAACAGCAGUAUUUUCAGCAACGAAAAUCAAUUUGUGUAAAUCUCAAAGUACUUGAUAGUGGAAGGUAUUGCUUAAAUAUUAACUAAAAAAGAAUCACCAAGAGGCCAGUAACUGCCUGUAGUCAUACACUAAUUCAGUGACGUGUUUGCUGUAUAAAGUCACAUCAAUACCAGCAGGCCUCAACAAGGACAUACCGGAAAGAAAAUAAUUCACAACUAAUACACUCAAUUUUACAGUACCUUGAACGUAACUAUAAAACUGCAUUACAUUAUUUGCAAUGCCAAAAAUACAAUGUUAUGUUCACAUUUCUAAAAAUCUUACUUCAGCAUCAAAGCGAGGAUCCUGAUAGGCAUCACUAAUAUUCACUGGGAGACCCGUGGAAGCUACAAGUUCAGCAAUGCUGUUAUUUAUUAGCCAGUCAGAGUAAGAUGAUGAUUUCUCCACACCUUCUUUGAAACUAUCAGAAGAUAUAGCAAGAGAAGGAAAGAACAAAGUCAACAUUGCUUGAAUGUCCAGCACGUUUUACAGGCAUUCUCAUAGGAACUGCAGAACUGUUUACAGUUACUAAUGGUUACUAAGCAUUAUCUGUGGAGCAAUAAUUUGCUAUUUACUGAAAGAGUACAUAAAAAAAAAAUAUCACCUUUACACAACUCCUUUGACUGAAAAUAGCACUGAUCUUUCAUGUUACUUACAUAUUUAAUAAUGAAAUCCACUGACAUAUGGAUCAAUAACAGGAUCAUGUUCGCAUCUCUGUGGGAAAUAAGCCUGAAACCAGUACUAAAAAUUUUCUGUAAAGCUACCUGAAAGCACAGAAUUUCAGAUUUUAAUUUUUCAAAUUAGGCUUAUAACUUGGGUAUUUUAGUCCAUAUUUCCAAUGAUUCUUUGUCAUGUGAAAUGGUUUUUGUUUUUAAUUUUCAUCUGCAGUGCUAGAUCAGAGUGGCAAGUAGAAGGGGAUUGUGAAAUGAGUCUUGAAAUCAAUAAUGUAAGUGUGUUACAGUAGGUGGAUCCUGGUAGAUAUAUAAUACAUGAAUGUUUCCUCCUUGACUGACCUUCUGCCACAACUACUAAAGGGCUACAGAGCAUAAAAUACAAGAACUGUGAGCUCAACACACCACACUCCACCUCAUCUCGUGCUGAAAACUGUGUCUACACAGACCUUGAAAAUCCUCACCCAUUCACUUAUCUACUCAGCGGGAAAAUUCUCACUGACUUACUGCAAACAGGUUUUUAUGUCUGACAAGCAGUAGCCAUUUGUGUGAAUCUCUGUAUGCAUACUAUCAGCUUUGAGAAUAAAACUGAUCAACACCUGAGACAUUACCAAGAAGAAAGUGACUGAACAGCUGUGGAGAAGACCACAAUGGCUUGAAACGUCAAAGUAGUGGAUAAGAUGAAGACAUAUGCACAGUAAAAUGCUCAGAAGACUCAAUCAGAAUGAAAGAAUUGAUUUUUGUUGGCCACAUUAAUUUUCUGGAAGUUAAUUCCACUAAGUCAUUCCUUUGAAAGAAAACCCAAUAUUCCUAAAAGGCUAUAAAUAAAGAUAAUAAUAAUGAUUUACACAAAGAAAUCUAAGUGUAUCAGCUUUAAUUUGGGAUAAGGAAUUUGAGUGACUGUAAUAAAUGUUGCAUGUGCACUUUGACAGAAGCCUUUACUGAAAGAAAAUAUUUUUGAGCUAAGUGAGAAAAUUUAUUUGUAUGACAUAAGAUUUAUUUCAGGACAUCAAUAUACUUGAGAAGUGAAAGAAAAAGAUCUUUCAGGAUAAGAAUGUAAUUUCAAAUGCAUAGAUCCCACUUCAUGUCUUAAAAAUCUGGAUACUUUCAUUAUAAUGUAAGACUUUAAAUUGGGUUUGGAGUAUAACUGUCCAGCAUUUUAAACAGUAAAUAAUUUCAAGUCAGGAAUAAGUUUUAAAAGUAUGUUCUACUGCAUCAUUCCCAAUCCCUGCAAGUGUUUUACAACCACGUUCUGAAGAGAGACACUUGACUUUCACCAGAGGAAAUAUCAAUGUUUAAUUCUGAUGCACAUCACAGCCAGCUGGCUCCCUCUCUUUUCUCAGCAGCUCAGAACAAUCCAAAUUGCCUCUAAAAAUCACAAGCAACAAUAUCCUUCAUACCAUGGAAAGCCAUGGGCUGAGCUACUGGACUAAUGCAGGCAGCUGUAUGCCACUGCCUCCUGUUUUGCCUACACACAGGCAGAAGCAUCAUGUGCCAGACAGAAAAGAAUACUCUGCUGCUCUAAGAGCACCAAGUGGUGCUGCAGGCUUCCCUCACACAGCUGCAUUCUUGUGAUCUUCCCAAAAGAGAUAUUCUCUGACGGGGGCAGCCAGAAGCACAGCUACCUUUAAUCCUCUCUAAAUUCAUGUAAACCCUUUCUACUCCUAUGACUAGAAGAGCAGAAAUAUGCCUUAAGAAGCAUAAAAACACUGCAUGGAAUGAGGUGGUGCAGAAGUGAGCAUCAUUCCUAGGGAUGACAACAAUGAAACAGCAGUAGCAUGGAUUUCUGCACUUUCUCUGUGCCUGCCCAACUGGGAAAGAGCUCAGAUAUUUUCUCAGCAAGCAGCUCACACAAGCCAAGGUUUCUCACCUUCUCACUGCCUCUGAUAUUUAAGUUGUUGAAUAGCAAUCUCAGCUACAUCAUCCACUAAGAUGCCUUCAGUGCAGGAAAGACAUGGCUCACAGCACCUGCCCCCCUGUACCCAGGAUACAUCCAAACUGAACUCAAGGCUUCAAAGAUUCAGGUAGCUUUCUUUCAAAGAGAGAAGAACUUUAAAAACUGCACUUCAAGAAUAAAGUGAUUGUCAUAAAGGACAGUAUCUUAUGAAUCAGAACUGAACUUGAUCCUGGCAUGUGCUGGAAUCUGUCAAACUGAACAGAUAAAUUCAAGUGCAGUCUUGCAAGGUAUUUCUUUAUAACCAACAGCAAUUGGACAUGAGUAUUCAUUAUAAUGUUCAAGGACUAAAAUGGUAAACUUUUACCACACAGAGAUGAAAAAGGCAAAAGAAAAACUAAUUUAUUCUAAAACCAAAGGAGGAAAAGUUAGAACCUAAUAUGAUACGUUGUCCUUGGACUUUCUCUCUCCUCCAAAUAAAACUUAGAGGCUGAGAAUGGUUCUAGUUAUAAUCUCUUUGGAUUUCCACUGAAAUUUCAAAAUAGUAAUAUUUAUCUCCACUGGAGUCAUUAUUAAGAAACCCAUCUUGCCAUUUUUUUUUUCCUAUAUGACGCUACAUUAGUUAAGUCCAUAGAAUGUGGAAUGAAAAGGGCAAAACUCACUAGAAGAAAUGCUCAAAUGCCAAGGGCUUCUGGCAUUGUUCUGUAUCCUAAAUAACCUUUAUUUUCCCACUAUAGUGCCAACAACUCAAGCUGUGCCUGUGCUAGAUCCAAACGUGAUGUCAUAUCUGUCAGUCUGAACUUUAUCUUUGUAAAAACCAGUUUCUCCCCCCACUGGAUGGAAAAAAGAAAGAAAAGCAGUCUUUACAUUAAAAUGCACAGAAAUUUAUGUUUAUAAUUCUUACUAAUAGUUUGCAUGUGUUUAUUCAUCUCUCUGACUGAAGUUAAAACAAUCUUGACUACAAACAGUGCAGACUACUACAAAUUGCUUUUUGGUAACAGGCUAACAUAACUAUGGUAACAAGAAACAAGCCAGCUUGGUUAUUUUGACACCAGUCUACACUGUGUUGACUAAUCUGGCUACUGAUCAAGUAUGACAAAGAUGGGAAUAACAACCACAUCUCUCAAUUCACACCUCUGACCCCUAACAAAAGGGAUGUAUAUUCACCCAUUUAAUUGACCUAGGAAAGAGCAAUUGGUACCCCGAUGCUCUUUCUCAAAGGGACUAAGUUAUGAUUCCCAGAUGGAUAAACAGAUUAUUUAUUCAUAUUUAAACUGUAAAGUGAUUUUUUUUUUAUCAUUUGCUUUCCUUUUCAGUUUUCUCUCAAUAAUCCAUCUCUUCAGUGGUGGCUAGGGCACAAAAGAGAUCUAGUUUCUGUCUGUCUUUCUGUGUGGACCUGGACUCUGCUGUCAGCUAGUAAAUUUUGUAAUUCUGUGACAUCAAUCUAUGAAAAACCUUAAGAAUUAGGAGCUGUCGUAAUUUGGAGUACAAUGUGCACAUUCACCUUAAUGAAAUGUCAAUUUCUUACCGCAAUGGAGGUAGAGAAGAAAAGCACUAAAGGCAGGAAAUUAUCCAUAAAUAUAGUUCAAAAGCUGCUUGAAAAAAGGGCUUGUGGCAAA